rnacentral:lncRNA from 1 species
GAGGUUGCUCACGACGUUUUGGAUGCCCUGGAGGAGGAGGAGAAGGAUGUUCUGAAUCUGAUGGAGGAGUUGAAGGACGUUCUGAGGCUGGUGGGGAAGGUAAAUGACGUGGAGGAGGAGGAAUUUCUGAGGCUGGCGGGGAAGGUAAAUGACGUGGAGGUGAAUGUGAUGGUGGGACUAACUUAGGUGGUGGAAGUGGAUUGCUUGGAGGGUCUGGUGCAGGUAGUGAAGGAGGGCUUUCCGGUGGUGGUGGUGGAUUUGUUGGCGGGCUGGGUGAUGUAAUAGGAGUAGUAGGAGGAGCUUCAGUUGGUGGAGGUGGCGGGGGAGAAGAUUCUGGUGGAGGUGAUGAUACUGGAUUCGCUGGAGGAGGAGCUUCAGUUGGUAAAGGUGGUGGGGGAGAAGGUUCUGGUGGAGGAGAUACUGGAAUCGUCGUCGGAGGAGGUCCAGUUAGUGAAGGUGAUGGGGGAGAAGGUUCUGGUGGUGGUGAUGAUAGUGGAGUCUCAGGAGGAGGAGAAGACUGAGCUGGGGUGUUUGUGGUCUCUGGUGGAUUGCCAUUAGUGGGCUCUCUAGU